rnacentral:lncRNA from 1 species
CAUUGCAUUUAUUUUGUAUUUAGAUGCCUGUUUGAACAGACAGCACCCACCACAAGUAUUUCAGCUUGCUGUGGGGACCUCGUGCCCCUGAGACUUUCAGCUUCUGUCAGCCCAUCCUCAUGUUACAAUGAUAAGAUGUUGCUCCCAGAGAAAAUAACAGCAACAAAGCCUGGGAUCACUGUGCUGCUGCCAUCAGUAUUUCUGCAGUGAGACGUGAACUGUGCCUUACCUUUUGGGACUCGGUGCCACCGGAGAUCUGCUGGGGGCAAGAAGGUGAGGAGGUCUGGAAGGAACACUGAAUAAAUUCCCUGGUCCAAUUUGCCA